rnacentral:rRNA from 1 species
AGUGAACGCUGGCGGUAGGCCUAACACAUGCAAGUCGAACGGCAGCACAGUAGGAGCUUGCUCUUACGGGUGGCGAGUGGCGGACGGGUGAGGAAUACAUCGGAAUCUACUUUUUCGUGGGGGAUAACGUAGGGAAACUUACGCUAAUACCGCAUACGACCUACGGGUGAAAGCAGGGGAUCUUCGGACCUUGCGCGAUUGAAUGAGCCGAUGUCGGAUUAGCUAGUUGGCGGGGUAAAGGCCUACCAAGGCGACGAUCCGUAGCUGGUCUGAGAGGAUGAUCAGCCACACUGGAACUGAGACACGGUCCAGACUCCGACGGGAGGCAGCAGUGGGGAAUAUUGGACAAUGGGCGCAAGCCUGAUCCAGCCAUACCGCGUGGGUGAAGAAGGCCUUCGGGUUGUAAAGCCCUUUUGUUGGGAAAGAAAAGCAGCAGGUUAAUACCCCGCUGUUCUGACGGUACCCAAAGAAUAAGCACCGGCUAACUUCGUG